GGGUUGUGAGGUUAAGCGACUAAGCGUACACGGUGGAUGCCCUGGCAGUCAGAGGCGAUGAAGGACGUGCUAAUCUGCGAAAAGCGUCGGUAAGGUGAUAUGAACCGUUACAGCCGGCGAUGUCCGAAUGGGGAAACCCAGUGCAAUUCGUUGCACUAUCGUUAACUGAAUACAUAGGUUAACGAGGCGAACCGGGGGAACUGAAACAUCUAAGUACCCCGAGGAAAAGAAAUCAACCGAGAUUCCCCCAGUAGCGGCGAGCGAACGGGGAGCAGCCCAGAGUCUGAAUCAGCUUGUGUGUUAGUGGAACGGUCUGGAAAGUCCGACGGUACAGGGUGAUAGUCCCGUACACCAAAAUGCACAGGCUGUGAACUCGAAGAGUAGGGCGGGACACGUGGUAUCCUGUCUGAAUAUGGGGGGACCAUCCUCCAAGGCUAAAUACUCCUGACUGACCGAUAGUGAACCAGUACCGUGAGGGAAAGGCGAAAAGAACCCCGGCGAGGGGAGUGAAAAAGAACCUGAAACCGUGUACGUACAAGCAGUGGGAGCACCUUCGGGUGUGACUGCGUACCUUUUGUAUAAUGGGUCAGCGACUUAUAUUCUGUAGCAAGGUUAACCGUAUAGGGGAGCCGCAGGGAAACCGAGUCUUAACUGGGCGUUAAGUUGCAGGGUAUAGACCCGAAACCCGGUGAUCUAGCCAUGGGCAGGUUGAAGGUUGGGUAACACUAACUGGAGGACCGAACCGACUAAUGUUGAAAAAUUAGCGGAUGACUUGUGGCUGGGGGUGAAAGGCCAAUCAAACCGGGAGAUAGCUGGUUCUCCCCGAAAGCUAUUUAGGUAGCGCCUCGUGAACUCAUCUUCGGGGGUAGAGCACUGUUUCGGCUAGGGGGUCAUCCCGACUUACCAACCCGAUGCAAACUACGAAUACCGAAGAAUGUUAUCACGGGAGACACACGGCGGGUGCUAACGUCCGUCGUGAAGAGGGAAACAACCCAGACCGCCAGCUAAGGUCCCAAAGUCAUGGUUAAGUGGGAAACGAUGUGGGAAGGCACAGACAGCCAGGAUGUUGGCUUAGAAGCAGCCAUCAUUUAAAGAAAGCGUAAUAGCUCACUGGUCGAGUCGGCCUGCGCGGAAGAUGUAACGGGGCUAAACCAUGCACCGAAGCUGCGGCAGCGACACUAUGUGUUGUUGGGUAGGGGAGCGUUCUGUAAGCCUGCGAAGGUGUGCUGUGAGGCAUGCUGGAGGUAUCAGAAGUGCGAAUGCUGACAUAAGUAACGAUAAAGCGGGUGAAAAGCCCGCUCGCCGGAAGACCAAGGGUUCCUGUCCAACGUUAAUCGGGGCAGGGUGAGUCGACCCCUAAGGCGAGGCCGAAAGGCGUAGUCGAUGGGAAACAGGUUAAUAUUCCUGUACUUGGUGUUACUGCGAAGGGGGGACGGAGAAGGCUAUGUUAGCCGGGCGACGGUUGUCCCGGUUUAAGCAUGUAGGCUGGUUGUCCAGGCAAAUCCGGAUAAUCAAGGCUGAGGUGUGAUGACGAGGCACUACGGUGCUGAAGUAACAAAUGCCCUGCUUCCAGGAAAAGCCUCUAAGCAUCAGGU
rnacentral:rRNA from 1 species